rnacentral:rRNA from 1 species
UACGGGGGGGGCAAGCGUUGUUCGGAAUUACUGGGCGUAAAGGGCUCGUAGGCGGCCAACUAAGUCAGACGUGAAAUCCCUCGGCUUAACCGGGGAACUGCGUCUGAUACUGGAUGGCUUGAGUUCGGGAGAGGGAUGCGGAAUUCCAGGUGUAGCGGUGAAAUGCGUAGAUAUCCGGAGGAACACCGGUGGCGAAGGCGGCUUCCUGGACCGAUACUGACGCUGAGGCGCGAAAGCGUGGGGAGCAAACAGG